UGCGGUAAUUUGACCGUGCAAAGGUAGCAUAAUCAGUAGUCUUCUAAUUGAAGGCUUGUAUGAAUGGUUGGAUGAAAGAAAAACUGUCUUUUUUAUAAUUUAAAAUUUGACUUUUAAGUGAAAAGGCUUAAAUUUAAUAAGGGGACGAUAAGACCCUAUAAAACUUUAUACUCUUUAUACUUUUACUGUGAAUUUUAAGUAAAUAUGGGUAAGUGUAGUGAGUAUUUUAUUGGGGAGAUAUCGAUAUAAGUUAUAACUGUCUGAGGAAAUAAAAUAAUCAUAGUUAUAUUUUGAUCCUUCUUUGRGGGUAAAAAGAAUAAGU
rnacentral:rRNA from 1 species